GCAUACCGGAUAAGAAAGCAGAUCGCAUGAUCAGCUUUUAAAAGGCGCGUAAGCUGUCGCUAUGGGGAUGGGCCCCGCGGUGCAUUAGCUAGUUGGUAAGGUAAAGGGCUUACCAAGGCGAUGAUGCAUAGCCCGAGUUGAGAGACUGAUCGGCCACAUUGGGGACUGAGACACGGGCCCAAACUCCUACGGGAGGCAGCAGUAGGGAAUCUUCCACAAUGGACGCAAGUCUGAUGGAGCAAACGCCGCGUGAGUGAAGAAGGUUUUCGGAUCGUAAAAAGCUCUGUUGUUGGUGAAGAAGGAUAGAGGUAGUAACUGGCCCUUUAUUUGACGGUAAUCAACCCAGAAAGUCACGGGCUAACUACGUGCCCAGCAGCCGCGGUAAA
rnacentral:rRNA from 1 species